UAAUAUAGCAGACAAUUUGAUGUUCUCAUAGUUGUUGAAAAUUUUCAGUUGUGGUUGAAAUGGUUAUUAAAAACUUUUUCUGAUCUUUGGUCGUGUUGUUGUCUCUUUGACACAUUCCCCGUUUACAUUCUCGAUUUUAUUUUAAUGAUUAUGAGAUCAACAGUAAAAAUAAUACCACGCAUGUUAGAGGAAACGUCAUUAAUUAAUGUGCACGAAAAAGAAUACUUCAUUUAAGAAUAUUCAUA
rnacentral:lncRNA from 1 species